UGUAAAUUUCGAGAAAAUCUAGAAAAAACAAAUUUCGGGCAAAGCUCUAGAUCGGAUGAGAUCGGAAGAGAUCGGUGCUGGGAGGGAGGGGACCGAAAACAAAUUUUCCCCACGUCACCGGAAUACAUAUUCAAGUGCGACGGACAGCGGUGAACGCAAAACAGACCCCAAGGAUAUAUCUCAGCAAUCCCGCACGCCCACCCAACACCCAGCCAGUCGUCUCCCUUCCUCCCAGACCCUGGCCAAGUCAGAAAUCAAUCAAAAUUUGCUCGCGAUGAUUUAGCAUGGAAUUUUUGGCUGAUGAUGAGAAUUUUUCAGUUGGGGCAAAUGGCAGCGGCAAAUAGCGAUCUCCUCCUGCGUGGGAGGCGUAUAUACCCACAUAUAUACUCAACUAUAUAUGCUCUCGUCGGUGUACAAGUCGACCGACUUGCUUGACGACAGCAUUCAAAUAUGUGACAGCCAAGAAAGAAAGUGUUUGGACUCGGGCGAAAGUGCACGAUACAUACAGACACUCAGCACUUAGGACAAGCGACAGCGUUAAUUGUUUGUUCAGGCGCCCACGAAGAAUAUUUUCACAAAUAUUUUGAUUACAAAACCUACAAAGAAAUCACUUUUUAGACCAAUAUUAGUCAUCAUUUCUAAUGAUUCUUCAUAGACUUUGUUUUACCUUUAAGAUUUUAAAAUAUGAAUCUUGAAAGAGUCAAAUUUCCGGAUUUUUCUCUAAUUAGUAGUCAUGACUUUUAAAAUAUGCAAAAAUAGU